ACGAACGCUGGCGGCGCGCCUAACACAUGCAAGUCGAACGAGAGAUGAGGAGCUUGCUCUUCAAAUCGAGUGGCGAACGGGUGAGUAACGCGUGAGGAACCUGCCUCAAAGAGGGGGACAACAGUUGGAAACGACUGCUAAUACCGCAUAAGCCCACGGCUCGGCAUCGAGCAGAGGGAAAAGGAGCAAUCCGCUUUGAGAUGGCCUCGCGUCCGAUUAGCUAGUUGGUGAGGUAACGGCCCACCAAGGCGACGAUCGGUAGCCGGACUGAGAGGUUGAACGGCCACAUUGGGACUGAGACACGGCCCAGACUCCUACGGGAGGCAGCAGUGAGGAAUAUUGCACAAUGGGGGAAACCCUGAUGCAGCGACGCCGCGUGGAGGAAGAAGGUCUUCGGAUUGUAAACUCCUGUUGUUGAGGAAGAUAAUGACGGUACUCAACAAGGAAGUGACGGCUAACUACGUGCCAGCAGCCGCGGUAAAACGUAGGUCACAAGCGUUGUCCGGAAUUACUGGGUGUAAAGGGAGCGCAGGCGGGAGAACAAGUUGGAAGUGAAAUCCAUGGGCUCAACCCAUGAACUGCUUUCAAAACUGUUUUUCUUGAGUAGUGCAGAGGUAGGCGGAAUUCCCGGUGUAGCGGUGGAAUGCGUAGAUAUCGGGAGGAACACCAGUGGCGAAGGCGGCCUACUGGGCACCAACUGACGCUGAGGCUCGAAAGUGUGGGUAGCAAACAGGAUUAGAUACCCUGGUAGUCCACACCGUAAACGAUGAUUACUAGGUGUUGGAGGAUUGACCCCUUCAGUGCCGCAGUUAACACAAUAAGAAAUCCACCUGGGGAGUACGACCGCAAGGUUGAAACUCAAAGGAAUUGACGGGGGCCCGCACAAGCAGUGGAGUAUGUGGUUUAAUUCGACGCAACGCGAAGAACCUUACCAGGGCUUGACAUCCAACUAACGAAGCAGAGAUGCAUUAGGUGCCCUUCGGGGAAAGUUGAGACAGGUGGUGCAUGGUUGUCGUCAGCUCGUGUCGUGAGAUGUUGGGUUAAGUCCCGCAACGAGCGCAACCCUUAUUGCCAGUUACUACGUUAAGAGGACUCUGGCGAGACUGCCGUUGACAAAACGGAGGAAGGUGGGGAUGACGUCAAAUCAUCAUGCCCUUUAUGACUUGGGCUACACACGUACUACAAUGGCGUUAAACAAAGAGAAGCAAGACCGCGAGGUGGAGCAAAACUCAGAAACAACGUCCCAGUUCGGACUGCAGGCUGCAACUCGCCUGCACGAAGUCGGAAUUGCUAGUAAUCGUGGAUCAGCAUGCCACGGUGAAUACGUUCCCGGGCCUUGUACACACCGCCCGUCACACCAUGAGAGUCGGGAACACCCGAAGUCCGUAGCCUAACCUUUUAGGAGGGCGCGGCCGAAGGUGGGUUCGAUAAUUGGGGUG
rnacentral:rRNA from 1 species